UACGUAGGUGGCAAGCGUUGUCCGGAUUUACUGGGCGUAAAGAGCGCGCAGGCGGUCGUCCAAGUCGCGUGUGAAAGCCCCCGGCUCAACUGGGGAGGGUCACGCGAUACUGUUCGACUCGAAGGCAGGAGAGGGUAGUGGAAUUCCCGGUGUAGUGGUGAAAUGCGUAGAUAUCGGGAGGAACACCAGUGGCGAAGGCGACUACCUGGCCUGUUCUUGACGCUGAGGCGCGAAAGCUAGGGUAGCAAACGGG
rnacentral:rRNA from 1 species